GAUGGCGACCGGCGCACGGGUGAGUAACACGUAUCCAACCUGCCGAUGACUCGGGGAUAGCCUUUCGAAAGAAAGAUUAAUACCCGAUGGCAUAGUUCUUCCGCAUGGUAGAACUAUUAAAGAAUUUCGGUCAUCGAUGGGGAUGCGUUCCAUUAGGUUGUUGGCGGGUAACGACCCACCAAGCCUUCGAUGGAUAGGGGUUCUGAGAGGAAGGUCCCCCACAUUGGAACUGAGACACGGUCCAAACUCCUACGGGAGGCAGCAUG
rnacentral:rRNA from 1 species